rnacentral:rRNA from 1 species
GACGAACGCUGGCGGCGUGCCUAAUACAUGCAAGUAGAACGCUGAAGAGAGGAGCUUGCUCUUCUUGGAUGAGUUGCGAACGGGUGAGUAACGCGUAGGUAACCUGCCUUGUAGCGGGGGAUAACUAUUGGAAACGAUAGCUAAUACCGCAUAACAAUGGAUGAAAAAUGUCAUUUAUUUGAAAGGGGCAAUUGCUCCACUACAAGAUGGACUGCGUUGUUUUAGCUAGUAGGGGAGGUAAUGGCUCACCUAGGCGACGAUACAUAGCCGACCUGGGAGGGUGAUCGGCCACACUGGGACUGAGACACGGCCCAGACUCCUACGGGAGGCAGCAGUAGGGAAUCUUCGGCAAUGGGGGCAACCCUGACCGAGCAACGCCGCGUGAGUGAAGAAGGUUUUCGGAUCGUAAAGCUCUGUUGUAAGUCAAGAACGGGUGUGAGAGUGGAAAGUUCACACUGUGACGGUAGCUUACCAGAAAGGGACGGCUAACUACGUG